ensembl:lncRNA
GGAUCGGCUGACAAAUUGAUAGUAUGUCAGGAGCAUAACAAACUUGCAUUCGUCUUCACAAACAUCUGCAUAUUUGUGAAGAUUCUGAAUGAGAUUAGAGGCUUCAUUUGGCAAAUUUAAGAUAGCCAUCAUGCUGAGGUCUAAACAUUGUUAGAAAUGUCUUUAAAUACAACCCCUCUGUCUGCUUUCUGGUCACUUAUUAAUAGACAGUUCACAGCGCUAAAAGACUGGGAGGGAGGCUUAAAGCAAUUAAAAGCUACGCUCCAUAUGCUUUUGAUGUUUUUUUGUCUCAUCCUAGACUAGCUAGAUCCUGAGUUAUUAUGCCAUGAGUUAUUAGAUCAGUUAGUUUGCAAUAGUAAGUAAAAUAAUAACAAUACUUGUAUGUUAUCCCUCCUACUGAUAGAUUUUGAAGUUGUUUUCAAAUACAGGGCUCAGUCUGGUGAACACUUGCAUAUCUGAUUAACUUCAAGCACACAAACAUUCAUCCUAGAGAGGGUCUUUACCUAGUCAUGUCAUGAGAUACGCUGCUGAAACAUGACCAACUUUGGGGUGAAAAAUAGCCAUCAGAUUGUUUUGGGGCCAGAUAGGAGUCAUCCAUGCCUUCCAACCUCUGGGAACUUGAUCUAGGUCUUUGGAUUAGAGUCUAGCUCUCUCUGCAAGCAGGAGAGCAAGGUAGAAACCUUUGGUGGGAUAUUCAGAGCGCUUCAGUUAAGUACCAACUUUUCUCCUUUAGAUGAGGAAACUUGAACUGCUAAAAUGAGUAUACUUGGAGUAAUACUAGUAUUUAGAUUCAGCCUGUAGAAAAAUUAUAAUUAAGAUUUGAGAAUUUUGGUAGUUACUUUGUGGCAUAUUGACAUUAAUAUUAUUACUAAUACAGAAUAUGUUAUCUGUAAGUCAUUUCUUCUUUUGCACCUCACUUUCUGUGAUGGUAAGUGUUGCAGGAGUUCAGUAACAGUUCAAGUUUAGGUUCUUGUCUUGUAAAAAAGGUGCAUGCACAUACCCAGAUUGAGCUGUUUAUUUGUCUUUUAAAUCAAAUUCCUGGAUGGAUCAAGCAAAGAUAUGAAUGCUUUUUUAACUAUGUAUGCUUAAGGUGUAAGCUAAUUAAUAUCACAAUGUCAUACUUCUGUGGUAAAGAAAAGUUGGUAGACCAGAUACGCCACUGCUAUCAGCAAGUGUAAGGCUUUUCCAUUUUAACCAGCUACAAAUCUCAUUGAAUACACAUAUUUUUGGCAGGACUGGCUCUUUAGACACUAUUAUAAGUUGCUCUUUCACAUUUUUACAUAAAGUCUUUCAGGCUCUGCCUCUUUGAGUUAGGCAAGCAUGAAGGAAUCAACAUGAGUCUAACUAAACAAAAAAAUCAGCCCCAGUGCCUGCUUCUUGCCAAGAACAGUGCCCCAGAACUAGAGCACUGCUGUGUUUACUGGCCCUUUCAUAACACUGUCAGUAUCGAAGAGUUGGUAAAUAGAGAACUCAUCCAGGAGGCUGUCAAAUUCUUCUGCACUGCUGCACACCCCAAGAUGAUAUGCUAACUCCUCUACCAUUUUGCCAGUAAGCCUGAGUUUAGAGGCUGGGUCAAGAACGAAUGACACUUUUCCAGUAGGCUGUCCUUCAGGGGAAAUGAUGUUAUCUUCUAAAUUUUUUCUCAGUGCUGACACGAAAAGGGAGCUAUUUGAGGGUUUGAAUAGAGAACAGCUAUGUACUUAUUAAGUACCCCUAGGUUUCUUCAUAUCGUCACCUCCAACCCAUUGCUAAUUCUCAAUCACACUUUACUAUUUCUGAUUCAUACAUCUUAAGCAGUUUGCAAACAUUCUUGAACCAAGCCAAUCCUAUUUGUAUUACAGUAGCCUUCUAGAAAGCUUGCGAAACAAAACAGCCCUUGCCCUAAUGAGCUUUGAUUCCAAACAGCAAGGCAGACAGAGCGGGCAGCAGCAUAGGAGACUGAGUGAUUUGCCAGGGGCAUGCUAGAAAUCAGUUGUGGGCUGAAGAAUAGGCCCUGAAUGUCUGUCGUCGUAGGCAGACUCUUGCUCCCCAGACCACAGGGCUUCCUUAGCAGCUGGUGCUCCUUGUUUUACAGAUUGCUGUGGGACUGCAGCUACAAUUUCAUUUCAAAGAUCAAGUACGCAAGAGACGUGUUUAAAUUUUGUCCUGUAACUAUUAACAAAUUAGAUCCAAAUUACAAGUCAGGUUUUGUACUCUCAGUCUCUGGGUUGGUGCUUGUAUAUAAUAAAUGGGGAUUUUUUGUCAUAUUACAAGAAAAUCUUUGAUAUCCUUUAAUACAAGAAUAUUAGAAUCUGGUAAGUGUUUUGCUGUGUUCAGUUAUUGGACCAGUUAAGAGUUUUGGGGUGCGAUGCCUCACGAUCGGCACUGUCAACCUUCUGGACAGUUCAACAGAGUUGGAAAUGGACUGUGUGGCAAAAAGUGCGUAAAACAAAGUUUCAGUUUCCUGCUCCAAGUCUGUUCACUGAUUCUCUCAUCCUACGUGUCAGGGAAAGUAGUGAUGUACAGUGCGAGUGACUGUGAAUCAUUUCCACCCAUUAUGGGGGGAAAAAAUUAGAAAAAAAAAAAAAAAAAA